GUCCUCCCUUUGGCAGCACAUAUACUAAAAUUGGAACAAUACAGAGAAGAUUAGCACGGUCCCUGUACAAGGAUGACACACACAUUGGUAAAGCAUUGCAUAUUUUU
rnacentral:snRNA from 1 species